CUCCGUAUUGUAUGUGGAUUAAAAGUUAAGUAAAAAACAAUUUUAAGAAUAGACUCUAAAUACUUUCCUGAAUUAAAAAAAAGUAAGGACUAGCUGUUGGUAAGUAUGUCAAAAAAUACAAAUAAGCAAUGAACAGAUUUUCAAGCCUGAACAUUGUGCCAAGUCCAUGUCAUUUGUUAAAAAUAAAAAUACAUGGUGCCUCACAAAGAUAUUACCAGGUGACAUGAAGUAUAAUGGUUUUAGAAAUGUGAAAAGCAAAAUCAUAAUCCCAAGCCCUUAAAAAAUGAGUUCUAGUAUAAUAUUAAAAGAAUUUAGAAUUAAAUGUAAAUUAAGAUGUGAAGUCAUUCAGGACAAUGAAAAGUUUAUUUAAAAGCACUAGUACUUUUAAGACUAAACAUAAACAACAUGAGACAAACAAUUGUGAUUCAACAAAGUUUUGCCUGGUGUUCAUGUUCUCUUAUAGUAUAUUAUAGUAGUAAUAACCAUGAAAUUGUAUUAAUAGCUUCAUGCUUAUGUUAAUAACCUCUUUGUUAUUAAUAUGUUUCAAUUUUCUUUAAAAACCUAAGUUUCAAGAGGUUUAUUUUAUUAUUAAAAUGGAUUUUUUUUUUCCAGAGGAACAAUAUCUCCCCUUCCCCAUUGGGUCCAUCUAUGAUUUUCGUGUAUGUGUGUGCAUGCAUAGGGGGAGUUGAGCUAAAACACCAAUUCUUUCAGCACAGCUGAUCACAGCAAGAGGAAAGCAAACAGAUGGAGUUAAUUCAUACUAAGAGGAGAAAGUCUGCUAGCCUCCAUGGGGGUAUUCGCUUUGUAAAAGAGGUUGCUUGAGAAGCUAAAUUUAUCUCUAAUUUGCAGAACCUAGGAAAUGAAGUAAAGAAUUUCAACGGUGGGAAAGAGAUUUGGAUGUUUCCAUUUUUUUCAGUAUUUGGAUUAUAAUAGAUCAGAAAAGAGCUGACCGGAAAAAAAAAAAAAAA